GUAAGUCGCUUUGGAUAGAAGCGUCUGCUAAAUGACAUGACAUGUAAUGUAAUAAAUUUUAAUACAGUUCAUGACUGUUACGUAUUUAACUAUGAAGGUUUUGUUUUUCAUUUAAAAUAAAUAUGAAGAUAAAUAUUCCCCUUAACCUUCAAGAACAGCACUCGGGUACAUUUACUUUGACUUUCCACCACUAUUAAAUGCCGGAGUCUUGAUGACCCCCAUGUUACAGUCCUUUAAUUAAAACAUUGUUACUUUUAAUGCACAAUGAUAGACAAUAACAAGCCUGCACACUGUAGAUAAACUUUCACUUUGAAGAGUACUCGGGUGCGACUGAUGUUGUACGAGUCCACACAAGGACGCAUGUUGAGAAAGGGCCAAAGAUUGAAGAUUAUGGUUCACUGAGGGCCUCUAACCCAAUGUGCCCCCGGGCCUGUGCCUGAAAGGAACCUUCAGUGAUCUAUUCAAAUCCCUACUACGUAACAAAUCCUUGUUUGUCUCAGAUCAGGAAAGAGUCCUACAGAAAUCUGUACAUGUGUUGGACUUCGGGGGGGUUCCUCUGGUGCUGACUGUGAGAAGCACCCCGGGACCUUCCACCGACCCUCCCAUCACAAAAUUGGACCCGACAUCGUCACAGCAGACACAGCCGUCCAGUCUGACCUCAAGCCGGCUAACAAGUGACGAAGAAUAUGAACUGCGACAUGAUCCUCACCUGCUGCGUUAUCUGACCGAGUGCCCCCCUGCUAUGAAAGAACUAGACAAGGGACUGGCCUCUGUGGCCUGCUCGGCCCAGCUGUACCCAGAGGAGGACCGGGUUCUAGUUAGCCGGUUAGCUCAAGC
ensembl:lncRNA